GACGAACGCUGGCGGCGUGCCUAACACAUGCAAGUCGAACGGGGUAGCAAUACCUCAGUGGCGAACGGGUGCGUAACACGUGAAGAAUUUGUCUAACGGCGGGGGACUAGCCGGCCCAACGGCCGGGGUAAUAACCGCGUACGACCGUCUGGAGGGCAUCCUCUGGUGGUGAAAGCCGCAAGGACGCCCGAUAGAGAACUUCGCGGCCUAUCAGCUAGUUGGCGGGGUAAU
rnacentral:rRNA from 1 species